rnacentral:lncRNA from 1 species
AUUGCUCAAAGACAAAAAAAAUAUUUUAAGUUUAUUAGACCACAUUCAUUCUGUGUCAGAAACCUAUGCUGUGUCAACUAUUUAAAUCACAAUCCAAAUUUAGAGCUGAAUCCAGCUUGAAUGUUGUGUCCAUACUUGCCCCAACCGUUCAGGGUUCAAUCUAUGCGGUCGUAUAAAGCUGCGCCCUGCGGAGCAUCUGGUU